rnacentral:lncRNA from 1 species
GCCUGGUCUGGUAGAGAUGGUGUGUGCGUGGAUUUGAGGGAGGCAGACCCUUCCCUGGGUUUCUCUACAGAGAGGAAGAGACCAUAGGUCUCUUGUUCGAACAAAAAUGAGAGAAAGGGCAGAAUCCCUAAUGUUUCAUCUGGGAAGAAGGCCUUGGGCCUAGGUCGCUUCUUUGCUUCCUGGCGACAUGCAACUCCAAUUCACACCUCCCUCCAUUUCUAAAAAAAAUAAAAAAGAAAGGGAGACCUUGGGCCUGACCAGCAAUUACCACACGCGUCCCCAAUUUUCAUCAGCUGCACCCCUGUCUUUGGGCCCAGACAAAUUUCGAGCUGCGCCCCCAUUUUUGGCCAUACACCCCUACUAGACUACAAGACCAGAAGCUUCAAUAUUUUUCAGCGCCCCUGGUUUUUAAUCUCUGCACCCCUAUUCUUAUUGGGC